CACACAUGUACACAUGCACAUAUGUGCACAUGCACACACAGCACACACAGCACACAUGUACACACAUGCACACACAGCACACAUGCACACACAGAGCACAUGUACACACAGCACACGUAGCACACAUACACACCCAGCACACAUGCACACAUAGCAGACACAGCACACAUGCACACACAGUACACAUGCACACACAGUACACAUGCACACAUAGCACACACAGCACACACACACACAGCACACAUACACACCCAGCACACAUGCACACAUAGCACACACAGCACACAUGCAUACACAGCACACAUGCACACACAGCACACAUGCACACAUGCACACACAGCACACAUAGCACACACAGCACACAUAGCACACACAGCAUACAUGCACACACAGCACACAUGCACACACAGCACACAUGCACACAUAGCACACAUACACACACAGCACACAUACACACCCAGCACACAUGCACACAUAGCACACAUGCACACAUACACACAUAGCACACAUACACACCCAGCACACAUAGCACAAAUACACACCCAGCACACAUGCACACACAGCACACAUGCACACACAGCACACAUGCAUACACAGCACACAUGCACACACAGCACACAUGCACACAUAGCACACCCAGCACACAUGCACACACAGCACACAUGCACACAUAGCACACACAGCACACAUGGACACACAGCGCAUAUGCAUACACAGCACACAUGCACAUACAGCACACAUGCACACAUAGCACACACAGUGCACAUGUACACACAGCGCACAUGCACACACAAUGCACAUGCAUACACAGCACACAUGCACACACAGAGAACAUGCAUACACAGCACACAUGCACACACAGCACACAUGCACACCCAGCACAUCAUGCACACCCAGCACACAUGUGUACAUGC
rnacentral:lncRNA from 1 species